UUGGCCUAUAAUUAUUUAGAUUUGAUCGGUCCCCACCCUUUAAUACAGAGUGACAUAUGCUGACUUCAAUACACUAGGUAUUAAUCCAGUUUCAAUAGUCAAAUUGAAAAUGUGUGUCAAAGGUUCUGCAAUAUGUUCAGCAGCAAUAUUUAAAAAGUAUGGAUCCAACCCAUCAGGACCAGAGGAUUUAUUGGUAUUUAACCUUCUAAGAGCAUCAUAUACCUCCUGCAUUGCAAUAGGAACAAAAUCAAAAUUGAUAGAUACAUUUUCCCUAGACAAAGAGUAGUCAUCUUGUCUCCUCUGUUGUUGUGUUGUAUGCUCAAACAACAACCCAGAAGAUAUAAAAUGCUGGUUUAGGGAAUCUAGCAUACUUUUCCUGUCUGUAAUAAUUUUGUCAUUCAACUUCAAUAUAUUUGGCAUGACAGUAUCCCUAGAGUCAGAAGACAGUGAUUUUAUAACUUUCCAAAAUUUAGAGGGAUUAACUUUACUAUCACAUAUUUCAUUUACAUAAAAAUCUGAUUUUGCUUUGCGUAUUUGAGAGACACAUUUAUUUCUCAGGUGCCUAAAAUAUUGCCAAUCUGAGCUAUUUUUGGAAUUCUUUGCCUUUGACCAAGCAAGAUCAUGCUCAUGAAUUAGAUCAGACAAUUUCUGUGAAAACCACGGAUUAUCAUGCCCUUUAAUCUUAUAUUUUCUAAAAGGAGCAUGCUUGUUUAUAAUGUCCAAGAAAAGUGAUUUAAAAUAUUGCAACGCUAUCUCGGGCUCCGGGAUCAAAUUUACCCUGGUCCAGUCACAGAGAUUAAGAUCAAUUAAAAAAAGCUUGUUCACAGAACAACUUCAAAAUUCUCUUAAUUAUAAUACGCGGUUUACAUUUAGAUAUCUUGGUAUCUCUCACACCAGCAAUAACGCAGUGAUCACUCGUAUCAUUUGCAAAAACCGCAGUAGCUUUGUAUUUCUGCGGCACAUUUGUUAAAAACAAAUCAAGGAGUGUAGACUUUUCAGGAUGUUUAGGAUUUAGCCUAGUAGGCGAAUCUAUAAUUUGGAUCAAAUUCGCUGAAUCACAAAAACUUUUAAUUAAAUCAGAUGCAGGAGUUAGCCAGUCCCAAUUUAAGUCACCCAUUAAAACCAAUUCAGUAUAUUUUAUAGAUGACAAACAAUCAGCCAAUGAGGACAAUGUGUCUUUUGGCGCAGAAGGAGGUCUAUAGCAUCCCGCAACUGUCAAAACACAAUUCUGCGAUAAUUCAAUUUUCAACACUAGUAGUUCAAAUUGUUUAGGCACAGACUUGGAUAAUUGUACUGUUGCUUGCAAACUAUUUUUUACAUAGAUCGCCACUCCUCCACCUUUAGCACAACGAUCAAUACGAAAUAUAUUAUACCCCUCCAUAUAAAUAUAACUAUCAAGAGUGGAUUUACCCAGCCAUGUCUCAGAUAACACCAUAAUAUCAACAUUUAGCCCAAAUUCUGACCAUAUCGAUUUUUGGCAAUAAACUUCUCACAUUUAUAUGCACAAAACCAAUACCAGACCUAUUUAGAAAAUCAGCAGGAGUUUGCAACGAUAUCAUAUCAGUCCCAGGACCUGGGUUAGGUUGCACAUUUUCCUGACAUCAGCAACAUAAGUGUAAUAAUACAUUUCAACAUACGUCUAUUAAGACCGUGCUUUCUGCAACUUUUAGAGUCACCACUCAUUGUGAUUUUGGGCCAAGAGUUUUUUGAUGGAAUAAAACAGUCAUUUAAAAGGAACAGGCUUAAAAGAUAUUUCAAAUUUCCAUGUUGUGAAGCCAGGCUCAUGUCAUCCAUCCAGCCCCCAUGACUGCCGACCAAGUCCUGUGCAUAGCCAGUAACCUUUGAUUGUGGGCACAAAUAAAGUGCAUUUAAGGAAACAUUGUAGUCACUCAUUUGGACCAACCGGUGCACUUCAUACUCUGACAUUAUAGGCAAACAGAGCAAAGACAGAAAAGCAAGAAUCAUACUCGCCAUGAUGGAAUUUGCACACCACAAAGCAGGGUAGCUGGAGUGUAGCUAGUAGAGACCCAAGGUUAUAGUUGAUAGCUAGUGGAAACCCAGGCUGUAGCUGAUGGAAUGUAGGCCAGGCAGUAGGUGAAACCAGAUUAUAGCUGGUAGAGUCCCAGGCUGUAGCUGAAGGAGACCCAGACUGUGGCUGGAGCAGGAGACCAGGCUGUAUUCAGUAUAGACCCAAACUGUAGCUGGUGCAGGCAGAGUGAUGCAGGUUUACACCAAAAGUAGAUGAACACAAAAAUCCAGGCAAACGCCCCAAUCCUAGUCCAAAAAACAGUAGGCCUGUACUGCUUUUUCGGGCAAAAAACAAACCCCACAGCAGCAGAUUAAUAAUUGAAGGGCCAGGUUGAUUGGGCACAGCAAUUGAAAUAGUUCUCCAACUCAGAUACACAAUAGUUCAUAAGUUGUGGGGUAAAUCACAAUUUUUCUAAUGGUUUUCACCAAACUUUGUUAAAAGUAAACGAACGUGUUAAAGAGGAUGUUAAAAUCCAUUGAAAAGACAAGUUUAAAACAAGUUAAAACAAACAAACACUAAACAGAACAAAAGAAAGGCUGCCAUCUUGGAAAGUGGGUGUUCAUAAUAGCCAGGUUGGAGCACCAGCUGUUUAUAUUGGUAUUACCAACUAAAGGAGCUACUAUAUGACUGUGUGUGUGGUUGUGAGUGUUAUGCCCCCAGCAAAAAAUGACCAAACGGUCCACCAGCGGUUUUUGGGCGGCACAAAUUCAGCGGCUUAAUACGGUCGGACCACCGUCGGGACACCAUCGGCGAGCCGACCAAUCUAAAAACGCUGUCGGUCAGCUGGUGUUUUUUUGGGUGGCAUGCCACCAACGGUUUGCCGCGGCUGGGCGUCCGUUGGUGCACCAGUGGCAAGCGGAGGGUCUGUCCUGUGUUUCUACCGAGCUCUUACAUGACAUUUUUGUUAUAUAUUUUUACAGUUAAAAGGAAUCUGAAGCACUGAAUAAAAAUAGUGAGAGUUAUAAUUAAUAAAGGUAUGGUAUAAAAACUGCAAGCACAUUUUUAAAUGAAAACAAUAGUUUGAAUGAUCAUAAAAACAACAAUACAAAAUCUAAUAAAAAAUAACAAACAAAAAAAAAAUCUAUAAAAAUUAAAUAAAAAUAAAAGUGCUACUUUGUCCCACUAUCACCUGCGGGUUGCAGUUUACACCUAUGUAUGAAUGGGUCAUAUAACUACAAAACGAUUACAAUUCAAAGUUAAAUAAACAUUUCUGUUGUUGUUUAUGUGCUAUAUAAUGUUUAUUUAAAUGGUGCGUGACUGUGACGUGUUUUGAUGGAGCUCGCUCUGAGUCUCUUCAAACGCUGCAGCGAGGGAGUUACCAUGGAAACGGGGCGGCAACUCUCAAACUGACAGCUGCAACACUGCGUCUCUCGCUGCUGUUUUCACCGUUUUCAGGAGUAACACUUCUACAACAGAAGAGAAGCUCCAAGAUAUCUACAUUUCUGAAGGAAGCUGCUGACAGAGAUGUUUCCCAUCCCAGUGUUACUACAGCUUGGAUCCAGCCUCACUUGUGGUGACUUCAGAUGAUGCCAACACUCAUGAAGACGAUGAUGGCAACUAUAGAUCAACAUACCAACCUGACAAAUGUUAUGUAUUGUAAUCAUUGCCUUAAAGCAUACGUUGAGUGAUUUUCAACCCACUUUGUAUUGUUACUAUGAUGGUAAUAUAUGUGAACGAACAAUAUUUAAUCUUUCUCUGAGUUCCAUGAGAUAUUCCCAUUUAUUUUUCAGCCAAAUAAUAUUUAGCAUUAUCCGAGUAUUGUUUUUUAACAUAUUACAGACUUUGUGGCAGUAUAAAGUGGAUUUAAAUUCCCCGAACCUACCCUUUAAUGUUUGUCUGUUUAACUGAACAUGACUUUAAACACAUAACUUGUAUUAUCUUAGAGUUAUUGACAUAUAGACAUUAAUUUGUUACCAGAAGA